ACUCCUACGGGAGGCAGCAGUGGGGAAUAUCGGACAAUGGGCGAAAGCCUGAUCCAGCCAUGCCGCGUGUGUGAAGAAGGUCUUCGGAUUGUAAAGCACUUUAAGUUGGGAGGAAGGGCAGUAAGAUAAUACCUUGCUGUUUUGACGUUACCGACAGAAUAAGCACCGGCUAACUCUGUGCCAGCAGCCGCGGUAAUACA
rnacentral:rRNA from 1 species